AACAUCGCCUCUUGACCCCCAAACAUAAGAGGUCCUGCCUGCCCACUGACUAUAAGUUAAACGGCCGCGGUAUUUUAACCGUGCAAAGGUAGCGCAAUCACUUGUCUUUUAAAUGAAGACCCGUAUGAAUGGCAAGACGAGGGCUUAACUGUCUCCUCUUUCUAGUCAAUGAAAUUGAUCUCCCCGUGCAGAAGCGGGGAUAUUCCCAUAAGACGAGAAGACCCUAUGGAGCUUUAGACGCAAGACAGCCCGUCCUUUAAAAUCUAAACAAAAGAUUACACUAAACAGCCCCUGUCUAAAUGUCUUCGGUUGGGGCGACCGCGGGGAGAUACAAAACCCCCAUGUGGAGUGAGAGCACUCUUCCCCACUUAACCACUGCUCUUAAAAACUAGAGGGGCACCUCUAACUAGCAGAACUUCUGACCUUAAUUGAUCCGGCUUAAUGCCGAUCAACGAACCAAGUUACCCUAGGGAUAACAGCGCAAUCCUCUUUUAGAGCCCAUAUCGACAAGGGGGUUUACGACCUCGAUGUUGGAUCAGGACAUCCUAAUGGCGCAGCAGCUAUUAAGGGUUCGUUUGUUCAACGAUUAAAGUCCUACG
rnacentral:rRNA from 1 species